GAGCCAUGUGGGCAGAGCGCCCUGGGCUGACUGAGCCCAGCUCUGUCUGGUAGGUCACACCCACUUGUGACCAGAAGCCAGUGAGUACCCCCAGCAUGCCCAACAGCACCCCACAGAACCCCAAAGGUACCGCCACAACAGAGACCACCACCCCCCGCCCCGGCCUCUUGGCUGUACAGCUACAUGGUGCCACACUACAGAGGCACAGGGGGACAUAAAGGCCAUUCUUCUGAGCUGCAGAAAUGAACAAAAGAGAGAAGGCCUCUCAGGCUCCAUGAUGAAAACUGAAGCCCACUGGAAAAGUGCAGAAAAUCUCUGCAAUAAAGGCACACCAGACCACCAUACUGGGAUAUCUAUGAAAAGAUGAACAAUCAUCUUCUCCAUUCAUCAGCCUCAGUAUUCCAUCUUUGAGCUGUUUGAUAGCCUCAUCUUAUUGGCCUCAGAAAAACUAGUAUUCCAUGGUCCUACACAGGAAGCCUUGGAGUACUUUAAAAGAGCAGCCAGCAAGACUGAAGAACUUCCCAAGGGAGAAAAGUCAGUCACAGAAAAAUUAGCUGAGUUUUAUGCCAUCUCCUCUUUCUACAGAGACACAAAAGCUGAAUUAGAUCAACUCUUAUGUGGUCAAGGAAACAAGGGGAUCUCAGCCCUCAAAGAGAUCACCUGGGUCACAUCCUUCUGCCAACAGCUCAGAAGGAUUAUCUGGCAUUCAUUCAAACACUUGCUGGGUUAUCCCCCUGUCACUUUAGUUCAGAUAAUUAUCCUAAUCAUAGUGGGACUGGUUGUAGGUGUUAUUUUCCUUGGGUUAAAAAGUGCUUGCACUGAGAUAUGGAAUAGGUCCCCAGUCGCGAGGAACACACGCCGAAUCACCCUGCUGCAGACAGGCAGGUCUGUGCAUGCCCCACCGAGGUCCUGAGUCACGCGGAAGACACUGAAUCACCCCACUGCAGACAGGCAGCCACCUGAUUCCACAUUACCAAGGCGCAAAGGACACCAGACCACCAGACCACCAGACCAAGGUACUGAGUCCCGCUGUUCCUGGCCCAGAGGUAGGGGCUUCUGAGCCACUGUCCCACUGCUCCUGGUCCAGAGGAGGGGGCUUCCCAGUCACCAUCCCUCCCGCUGCUCCCAGCCCAGAGGAAAGGGCUUUUG
rnacentral:lncRNA from 1 species